AACUCUGUAGAGAGCACUUUGGGCGACGUCGUCAUCGACUUGUACACCGAGGAGUGGCCGCGUGCCUGCUUGAAUUUCUUGAAAUUGUGCAAAAUAAAAUAUUACAAUUAUUGCCUUAUUCACAAUGUACAGAGGGAUUUUAUCAUACAAACUGGUGAUCCUACGGGGACUGGCCGUGGAGGAGAGUCUAUUUUUGGCCAACUGUAUGGUGAUCAAGCAAGCUUUUUUGAGGCAGAAAAAGUCCCAAGAAUUAAGCACAAGAAGAAAGGCACAGUGUCCAUGGUGAACAAUGGCAGUGAUCAACAUGGAUCUCAGUUUCUCAUCACUACAGGAGAAAAUCUAGAUUACCUUGAUGGUGUCCAUACAGUGUUUGGUGAGGUGAUAGAAGGAAUGGACAUAAUUAAGAAAAUUAAUGAGACCUUUGUUGACAAGGACUUUGUACCAUAUCAGGAUAUCAGGAUAAAUCAUACGGUGAUUUUAGAUGAUCCAUUUGAUGACCCUCCUGAUUUAUUAAUCCCUGAUCGGUCACCAGAACCUACAAGGGAACAAUUAGAUAGUGGUCGAAUAGGAGCAGAUGAAGAAAUUAAUGAUUUCAAAGGACGAUCAGCUGAGGAAGUAGAAGAAAUAAGGCAGAAAAAGAGGCUAAAACUCAGGCUAUACUUUUAGAGAUGGUGGGAGACCUACCUGAUGCAGAUAUUAAACCUCCAGAAAACGUGCUGUUUGUGUGUAAAUUGAACCCAGUGACCACAGAUGAGGAUCUGGAAAUAAUAUUCUCUAGAUUUGGGCCGAUAAGAAGUUGUGAAGUUAUCUGGGACUGGAAGACAGGAGAGUCCCUCUGUUAUGCUUUUAUUGAAUUCUAAAAGGAAGAAGAUUGUGAGAAAGCGUUCUUCAAAAUGGACAAUGUACUUAUAGAUGACGGAAGAAUACAUGUGGAUUUUAACCAGUCUGUUGCAAAGGUUAAAUGGAAAGGAAAAGGUGGGAAAUACACUAAGAGUGAUUUCAAGGAAUAUGAAAAAGAACAGGAUAAACCAUCUAAUUUGGUUCUGAAAGAUAAAGUAAAGCCCAAACAGGAUGCAAAAUAUGAUCUUAUACUAGAUGAGCAGGCAGAAGACUCAAAAUCAAGUCACUCACACACAAGUAAAAAACAUAAGAAGAAAACCCGUCACUGCUCUGAAGAAAAAGAAGAUGAGAGGCCGGGCGCGGUGGCUCACGCCUUAACAGUCAUUCAGCCCCCUUACAUCACAACCCAUGAUCCUAUCUUCUGUUUAAGUUUGUCAUGA